AGAAGAGUUGUGGGGAAAAGCCCCGAUCACGUCAACUUCGGCCUGGAGGUUUUUGGAUUUUUGAAGGAGAAAACUGGCUUAUGUUUGUUCAGGUGUUAACAAUUUUGCUGCCACAGUAUAUAAGUUCUCUCUGUGUUGCCAGUUUUCAGUUAUUUUCAUUCUUUUUGGCUCCUUUUGAUGCUUAAAUCUGUUUAAAAUUGCUUUUAUGACAGGUUUGGAGUUAACCUGAUUGCUGAACUCUUUUUGUUCCAGUGCCUACAAUACUAUUCUUCCAGUAAAUGACUAAAAUCGUGAUAGGUACAGGCCAUGGAGUUAGAUGGGAACUUGGGGACUAGCCAACAUUCUGCUCAAAGAUCAAUUGCAGACUGCCAUGUUUACAGAAGGAGCUUCCUAUCCAAAAGGGAAGCUGAGAAAUCCUGGACAGACGUGAUUGGGCAGGAAUUGUCCACCUCAAAGCAUGAAGUAGAAGGAAAGAUGGUUCAUGGCUUCCUCAACUGGCUUUAAUUUCCUCCCCUUUGAGUAUGUAAACUUUAAAAUAUUGCUUUGCUAACGUAAAUACAAAUAAAAUUUACUGUUAAGCACUAUCUAGAUGAAAA
rnacentral:lncRNA from 1 species